UACGUAGGGGUCGAGCGUUGUCCGGAGUUACUGGGCGUAAAGCGUGUGCAGGCGGCUCAUUGCGCCGGCGUGAAAGCCCCCGGCUCAACCGGGGAGAGUCGUCGGGGACGGGUGAGCUUGAGGGUAUCAGGGGCUGGUGGAAUUCCUGGUGUAGCGGUGAAAUGCGCAGAUAUCAGGAAGAACACCCGUGGCGAAGGCGGUUCUCUGGAACGCAACUGACGCUGAGACGCGAAAGCGUGGGGAGCAAACAGG
rnacentral:rRNA from 1 species